UGGCACGUCACCCUGGGGAGAAAAGUGUAAUUUUCCCGCCGCCGUGGUACACUCGGAUGUAUCUCACACGCGCACCGAACGAGACAUCCUAUUUUGUUCAUCGAAUAACAGGUGACCAUGAAGCUCUGUGUCCUGCUCGUCGGGACGGUGUUGCUGUUGGCAAAACCGUCGUGGGAACAAGCGCCUGGUGUGCAACAGUUCGUAGGCCAGUUCCACGAUAAAUACGGGAAGGAGCCGGACUACUCCUUCUUUGGAUUUCCUUACCGCACCUUCAACAACCUCAACCCACUGAACGGAGCUUUCGGCAAUGGCCUCCGCAGAGGACUUGGAAACUUCGUCAACGCAGGCAGAGCAGGCCCAGGGAACGGAUUCGAUUUCGGACUUAGCACAAUCGGCAACUUAGCCGGAAGCUUCUUUGGAGGUAGCCCAGCAGGACGCGGAUCAGGAUCACGGCCAUUUGGCCUCUUCAGGCGAAGAAGGCGAUCAGUACACGUUAACUGAUGCUCAAACAACACGUUGCUGGGUUGGGAUGACUUCUCAAGAUCGUCAUUGCAUUAGUUCCGAUUGUGGGCACAUAGCGCCACGACUGGAGAUUGAAGGUCAAGGACUGGUCCCAAUCUUUAAGUCCCAAGGUCCCAACUCAUAUUCGAUGUUAUGUGGCCGAGACUAUUGAGAUCGUGUUCAUCUCGUAUUCCGGAGGUCUCUCUUAUUAAAUGUUGCACAACGGCAACGGAAAGACUCCAAACGAACGUGUGAAGGUCAGUGUGUGAAAUAUCCGAUAACCGCUUCUGUUGGCGUCCCCAUGGCUCUACGUGUGCAGCAAGAAGAAUAUGGUAACAGAAAUCGAUGCGUAUCAACAUUUUUUCUGGUACUCGUCAACAACACAUUGUAUAUUUGACGCUGUUCCUUUUGCACGUGUAGUACACACCUGUGUCAUGACUCCACGACCUGGCAGCCAUGCCCAAUUGUGUCAACAAGUAACGCACUCAGAUGAGUAAAGUUUUGUGACUAACGAGGAUGAUCAUAAUGAUGAUGAUGAUGAUGAUGAGAACAACAGCAGCAACAAAUACUUGGAAGGGAAUUGCAGUGUCGACAACUGCAGAAAUUUGUCUCUCAUCUUGUGGCUCGCUAUUUCAUCAAUUAUGAUGAUCAGAAGCGCAUUCACACGUAGUCUACGUAUAUGCCUGUCUUGUCCACUUGUCCUCUGUAUUUGCCCUCGCCUGUGCUCUUCUUCCUUUGUAAACCUAAUGCACCGCCCAUCGUGCCCAUCAUGCAAAGUGUGUUAUUGCUUCACGUACGUAUUCACUGUAUGCUAAUAUUUUACUAUUAUUGAACUCGUUGUCAGGAAAAAAUGAGACUACGGAAGUUACAUCCUAAAUAGAUAGUACAGCAUACGUGCAGGCAAGCUGGUAGAUAAAUUCCAUAGUUGAAUAAAUUCCUUAGCUUGGGCACUAGGAAGAACAAGAGACACACCCCAUGUGUGUAUCUGUCGUUCUUCGUCGUGGCCAAGCUCAGGCUUCUUCAACUAUGAGAUUACAUCUUACAUAUCUACUCCAAUUUUCUAUUUUGAUAUGACACAUUUCCUGGAUCCAUCAUAGACUUACACGAUCACCCUCGGUUUAACUCUACUUUAGCCACACUGUUUAAUGUCGUGUAACAAUUAAUUAAUGUUAUGCUAGCGGUGAAUUUCUAUGUGACUACUUUGUCACCUGUACACAUAUGUUGUGUCUGAUUAUUCUGAUCAUUUUGUUAUUAAUUUGUAUUCGUAUGCACUCACUCCCCUCUGUAAUGUCCAUGGGCCCUGAGGGUAUGUAAAUAAACUUCCCUUACUGCUCCGCU